GAUUCCUGGCUCAGGAUGAACGCUAGCUACAGGCUUAACACAUGCAAGUCGAGGGGCAGCAUGGUCUUAGCUUGCUAAGACUGAUGGCGACCGGCGCACGGGUGAGUAACACGUAUCCAACCUGCCGUCUACUCUUGGACAGCCUUCUGAAAGGAAGACUAAUACAAGAUGGCAUCAUGAGUCCGCAUGUUCACAUGAUUAAAGGUAUUCCGGUAGACGAUGGGG
rnacentral:rRNA from 1 species